rnacentral:SRP_RNA from 1 species
AAUUGGGUGAUKUCCASAUUACCUGUGAAAGGAUGACAGUGUGUGUGAUGGGCACCCCUUAAUCAAACCAGUGGUCUGCAAGGUCGCUUCGGCGGAGGCUGGGGCGAUCUGGCAGGUAAUGAUCUGGGCACUGGCUCAGGCUGGCAACAGAGCAGGCAAAACCAGACACCACUGCGGAGUGAUCAGAUCAGGAGCCCAAGCACCACUGUCAACCUACCCACAGCUCUCGCCACACAACUCCACCUU